rnacentral:rRNA from 1 species
AAUCAACGCUGGCGGCGUGCCUAACACAUGCAAGUCGAACGCGAAAGGGGCGUCGCUCCUAAGUAGAGUGGCGUCCGGGUGAGUAACACGUAGGUAAUCUGCCUUCGGGUGGGGAAGUAACCAGUCGAAGAUUGGCUAAUACCGCAUAAUGCAGCGGCACCUAAUGGUGAUUAGUUGUUAAAGCGGGGAGUCGUAAGACCUCGCGCCUGAAGAGGAGCCUGCGGCAGAUUAGCUAGUUGGUGAGGUAAUGGCUCACCAAGGCUUCGAUCUGUAGCUGGUCUGAGAGGACGGCCAGCCACACUGGCACUGACACACGGGCCAGACUCCUACGGGAGGCAGCAGUGGGGAAUUUUGGGCAAUGGGCGAAAGCCUGACCCAGCAACGCCGCGUGA